AGUGAACGCUGGCGGUAGGCCUAACACAUGCAAGUCGAACGGCAGCACAGUAAGGGCUUGCUCUUACGGGUGGCGAGUGGCGGACGGGUGCGGAAUACAUCGGAAUCUACUUUUUCGUGGGGGAUAACGUAGGGAAACUUACGCUAAUACCGCAUACGACCUACGGGUGAAAGCAGGGGAACUUCUGACCUUGCGCGAUUGAAUGAGCCGAUGUCGGAUUAGCUAGUUGGCGGGGUAAAGGCCCACCAAGGCGACGAUCCGUAGCUGGUCUGAGAGGAUGAUCAGCCACACUGGAACUGAGACACGGUCCAGACUCCUACGGGAGGCAGCAGUGGGGAAUAUUGGACAAUGGGCGCAAGCCUGAUCCAGCCAUACCGCGUGGGUGAAGAAGGCCUUCGGGUUGUAAAGCCCUUUUGUUGGGAAAGAAAAGCAGCAGGUUAAUACCCCGCUGUUCUGACGGUACCCGAAGAAUAAGCACCGGCUAACUUCGUG
rnacentral:rRNA from 1 species